rnacentral:rRNA from 1 species
GACAGAGGUGCCGAGCGUUAGGCGGAAUUACUGGGCGUAAAGCGUGCGCAGGCGGUCUGUUAAGACCGAUGUGAAAUCCCCGGGCUUAACCUGGGAACUGCAUUGGUGACUGGCAGGCUUUGAGUGUGGCAGAGGGAGGUAGAAUUCCACGUGUAGCAGUGAAAUGCGUAGAGAUGUGGAGGAAUACCGAUGGCGAAGGCAGCCUCCUGGGCCAACACUGACGCUCAUGCACGAAAGCGUGGGGAGCAAACAGG